GCACUGCUGAGGAGUCCCACAAUUGGACGAAACGGCCGCCCAGUGC
rnacentral:hammerhead_ribozyme from 1 species